CUUCAAAGUACUUGUUAGAAGAUGGGGUCAUCGAGGAACCUCCGUUGUUGCUGGACUUCUUCCGGGAACUUCGCAAUUACAACUGAAAACGAGGGUGACAAGUUUGGAUGCGACAACAAGUUAAAAAAAGGACAGAACAUGGACACAAUGCAAUUGGGAUCAAGAAGAAGGUACAGAUAUGUGAUCUUCUCAGAAAUUAAUCAAGUUCAUGGAAUGGAUAUAGACACAGAUAAUUCAAGGACUAUCCGAGGUAGAGAGGCGAGGCAGGGGUGAGGACCUGCUAUCAUCCUGCUAUUUUGACAGUCCCUGAAGAACAAUACAGAAGAGGUAUUUGCUCUUAUUCCUUCCCUUUCUCUAAUGCAUUUUGUAAUA